rnacentral:rRNA from 1 species
CCAAUAGCGUAUAUUAAAGUUGUUGCAGUUAAAAAGCUCGUAGUUGAAUUUCGAGAUCAAAUUGUUGGUCGUGCCUUGGUACGCACUGGCAUUAUUGGUUUCUCCCUUCUGAAGAACCAUGAUGUCAUUAAUUUGGUGUCAUGGGGAAUCAGGACUGUUACUUUGAAAAAAUUAGAGUGUUUAAAGCAGGCUCGCGCUUGAAUACAUUAGCAUGGAAUAAUGAAAUAGGACGUUUGAUUCUAUUUUGUUGGUUUCUAGGAUUGACGUAAUGAUUAAUAGGGAUAGUUGGGGGCAUUAGUAUUCAAUUGUCAGAGGUGAAAUUCUUGGAUUUAUUGAAGACUAACUACUGCGAAAGCAUUUGCCAAGGAUGUUUUCAUUAAUCAAGAACGAAAGUUAGGGGAUCGAAGACGAUCAGAUACCGUCGUAGUCUUAACCAUAAACUAUGCCGACUAGGGAUCGGAUGAUGUUAAUUUUAUAAUGACUCAUUCGGCGCCUUAC